rnacentral:rRNA from 2 species
GUCAACGACCAUACCAUGUUGAACACACCGGUUCUCGUCCGAUCACCGAAGUUGAGCAUCAUCAGGAUGAUCAUGUGUCGUCAGCA